rnacentral:lncRNA from 10 species
GCCUGACGGAGGAGAUGUGGGGUGUGGGCUCUGGAUUGGUUGGUUUGCAAAAGAGGGUGUGUCUGCAGGCAAGUGUUUUAACACUACAGACACUGGCUCACCCUGGGAGGGGCAGCCUCUCAGGGUCCACAGGACCCAGAUGUCAAAGCAUCAGAAUAAAAAGACACAGUUAAUGCAUUGCCGUUGAGGUUUAGCUGUUUACCUGGGGAGAUGAGCAAGAGAUGACCAUGCAACACAGCUAAACACACAGCCGGGGCCCCUGGCCAGCCUCCGGAGGGAUGGGCUUCUCUGUGGAAGCUUCUCUCCAGCCCUGAGGGGUGGACAGGAGUCAGUCAGGCAAACAGGACAUCUAGACAGAGGAAGCACAAAAAACAGAGACAGAGGAGGAGGGGAACAAUUCAGAAAAUGAAAGAAGCUCAAAAUUGAUGGAAAGCCCAAGCUUGUGGGAAAAAGCGCCAGUAAGAGAGAAGGCUGUCAGGACCAGAUCGUGGAGGGUGGGGUUUAACCCAGAAGCUGGCUUUAUCCUGAAGGCAAGAAGAGCCACAGAAGGGUUUGAUGGAGAAGAUGGCAAAUAAUACAUCAGGAGUUACUUCUGAUGUUGCGGCCUCCUCAGCAAAUGGAAGCACCUGGCCUGCCUCACCUGGUGAAUCCACCCAGGAUGGACCGUGCCUUGGAGAAAAGGAGAGAAGCUGCAGAACAACCCUCAAAGCCAGCAGCCUGAUAAACUACAUUUCAGAAACAACCACCUUUUAGAGACAGGGAAUAGCAGACAUUCUUUGUGAUGAACGCACUGAAAUUUCAGGCAAGCAGCACUACAGGGUUUCUUAAUUGAACUUUUGUGAAUUUUAUUCAAAGCAGACUAUAACAAUAUGGUUCUUGAUUGCUGUUAUUUCUCUACCUCGUGAAGAAUGUGGGCCUGGUGGAACUGGCUAUUGUUCUGCAUAUCACAUGCUUCCCCAUUAUUUCUCUUUCCAUGUCCACACUGAAAUUUGGUCGCAGCGAGUGGGCAGGUAAAGGGACCCAAUUUUCGAAGAAAAUUAAUGAAGAGAGAAUGGAUGGGCGAGCAGCUGCCCUUUCAUCCCUGAUGGCAGAGUAGGCUCAGGUACAGGUGGGUGGGCUGCUAGGCGUUGCAUUGAAAUUCCUUUAUCAUCUCAGCCUUUUCUCCGAAGGCCUUCAAAGAGCUGAGCCCAGCUGCUCCCAUCCCCUCGCCUCUGCCUCCUCUACUGAUGACAGGACACAGAAAGCAUCCCAAAACCUGAAGCCACAGGGGCAGACUGGGGUGGGUGCUGAUGUCCUUGUAGAAAGUGAAAUGUUGUACUUAUAUUCAAAGACAGCCAUCUUCACACCGGGUGCCUGGGAGGACAGUCACACCAGACAUUGCAGCUAUCUUAUAUCAUUCCAUCUUUUCUGCUCAGCCAAUGUACUCAUCGCUCAUUGUUCAAGACACUCCCAAGUCAAACCAGCAAGCCGAAUUUCACUGCUCUGAGUUUAAAAUGUAUUAACUGCUGUCAUGAUCUAAUAAUAAGUAUUAUAUCUGCUUUAAGAUCUCCCAGCAGGGGACAAGGGAAGCAUACAUGGAGCUGGAAAUUCACUGAUUCUGCUCUUCAAGAAACAUCAGGCCUGAAGAAGGGCAGUGGAGCUCUCGGGAUGGCUCCUGCAGUUAAUGAGCCUGACACUCUUUGCCUUCCAUGACAGGACACAGGUUCCCUUCACAGUAAGGCCAGGCAGUGUUGUCUCAUAGCCAAGCAGCAGCCUGAAAAUCAACCAGAACUUGGAAGUGAACACACACUCUGCCUCUUAAUACAGCAGUGACACUUUGCUACUCUGAGCCUCCUUUUCCUCUCUGUAAAAUGAGAAUAAUUCUCACUUUUCCUGAGAUUGUAUAGAAACUAGAAGAAGCAAAGCAUGAAAAAGCAACGGGCAACCUGCAGACCAAACAAUUUCAAGCAUGUGAGUUAAAAGAAAACGCACACCCCAGGAGACGCAGUGCCAGUGGACUCCGUGAUAGCUUUGAUUCCCUUGUCAACUCGGAUUUCACAGACUCAAGAUGGUGCUACUCAUUUUAGACCU